AAAUUGAAGAGUUUGAUCAUGGCUCAGAUUGAACGCUGGCGGCAGGCCUAACACAUGCAAGUCGAACGGUAACAGGAAGCAGCUUACUGCUUCGCUGACGAGUGGCGGACGGGUGAGUAAUGUCUGGGAAACUGCCUGAUGGAGGGGGAUAACUACUGGAAACGGUGGCUAAUACCGCAUAACGUCGCAAGACCAAAGAGGGGGACCUUCGGGCCUCUUGCCAUCAGAUGUGCCCAGAUGGGAUUAGCUUGUUGGUGAGGUAACGGCUCACCAAGGCGACGAUCCCUAGCUGGUCUGAGAGGAUGACCAGCCACACUGGAACUGAGACACGGUCCAGACUCCUACGGGAGGCAGCAGUGGGGAAUAUUGCACAAUGGGCGCAAGC
rnacentral:rRNA from 1 species